rnacentral:rRNA from 1 species
GACAGAGGGGGCAAGCGUUGCUCGGAAUCACUGGGCGUAAAGGGCGCGUAGGCGGGAUGGCAAGUCGGUCGUGAAAUCUCUCGGCUCAACCGAGAAACGUCGGCCGAUACUGCCGUUCUUGAGGGAUGCAGAGGAGACUGGAAUUCCCGGUGUAGCGGUGAAAUGCGCAGAUAUCAGGAGGAACACCGGUGGCGAAGGCGGGUCUCUGGGCAGUAACUGACGCUGAGGAGCGAAAGCGUGGGGAGCGAACAGG